rnacentral:rRNA from 1 species
GAUAAACGUUGGCGGCGUGGAUUAGGCAUGCAAGUCGUACGGGUCGGUGUAGCAAUACAACGGCAAGUGGCGAAAGGGAGAGUAACACGUAGAUACCUACCCUCUGGUCGGGGAUACCGCGGCAUAACCGCAAGUAAUACCCGAUAAAAUCUCCGGAUCAAAGGUGUGAUUCCGCCGGAGGAGGGGUCUGCGUUCUAUCAGCUUGUUGGUGAGGUAAUGGCUCACCAAGGCUAAGACGGAUACGGGGUGUGAGAGCAUGCCCCCGCUCACUGGGACUGAGACACUGCCCAGACACCUGCGGGUGGCUGCAGUCGAGAAUCUUCGGCGAUGGGCGCAAGCCUGACCGAGCGACGCGGCGUGCGGGAUGGAGGCCUUCGGGUUGUAAACCGCUGUCGAGGGGAAUGAAGUGUAGGUGGGUACUCCCAUCUAUUUGACAGAUCCCUGGAGGAAGCAUGGGCUAAGUUCGUGCCAGCCGCCGCAGUAA